rnacentral:lncRNA from 1 species
AUGAGUCGACCUCUGUUGCAAAAACCAGAGAAUGCUUUUCUGGAAUUUCUUGGCUCAAAUUAGCAGGGGUCGACUCAUGAGUCGACUCAUGCCUUGUGGGUCGACUCAUGAGUCGACUCAUAGGUCAUGCCAAGCCAGAAAACUAGCGUGCCAAGGAGAAUUUUUGCGUGCCAAUCAGCUCACAGUGCCAUGAGUUGACUCAUGAGUCGACUCAUGCACUUCAAACCUUCAUAACUUCAAAAAUAUAAGUCCAAACACAAUAAAAUUUUCACCAAUAGAUUUCAAAUCAUUUAUUCU